GCUUAGCCGUAAAAUAUUAACUCACAACUAUAAGCGCCUGGGAAUUACGGGCUAAGCCUAAAACCCAAAGGACUUGACGGUGUCCCACCCAACUAGAGGAGCCUGUUCUAUAAUCGAUAACCCCCGUUAAACCUGACCUCUCUUUGCUUUCUCAGCCUGUAUACCUCCGUCGUAAAUUCACCCUGUGAAUGCCAAAUAGUGUGAUUCAAUGCCCCUUCGCCAAAACGUCAGGUCAAGGUGCAGCCUAUAGAGAGGGAAGUGAUGGGCUACAAUUUCUAACCUAGAACAAACGGAUUACUAUAUGAAAUUCAAUUAUGAAGGAGGAUUUAGUAGUAAAGAGAAAUUAAUGAGUUCUCUUUAACAUGGCCCUGGGACG
rnacentral:rRNA from 1 species